ACGGAGGAUCCAAGCGUUAUCCGGAAUCAUUGGGUUUAAAGGGUCCGUAGGUGGAUGAUUAAGUCAGGGGUGAAAGUCUGCAGCUCAACUGUAGAAUUGCCCUUGAUACUGGUUAUCUUGAAUCAUUAUGAAGUGGUUAGAAUAUGUAGUGUAGCGGUGAAAUGCAUAGAUAUUACAUAGAAUACCAAUUGCGAAGGCAGAUCACUAAUAAUGUAUUGACACUGAUGGACGAAAGCGUAGGUAGCGAACGGG
rnacentral:rRNA from 1 species